rnacentral:lncRNA from 1 species
GCUGGUCUUGAACUUCUGGCCUCAAGUGAUCCACCCCCUCUGGCCUCCCAAAGUGAUGGGAUUAUAGGCGUGAGCCACCUCACCUGGCAGGAAGCAUUUUAUACAUAACAUGUCAUGUUACCAAAGCCAUUGCUUUUUCUGGGUGGCUGGACAGGAUGCCCCACAACACACACAGGGACAGACAGCCAAAGAGAUAGCCUCUCUGCCUUAGGACUUUCCUGGACACAAUGAAGCAAUUAUCAGGUGAGUUUUGAAACUAUGCAAACUUAACCUGAACAUAUUCGAUUACACAAAUCUAUUGUGUAACACAGCUGGCCUUCCUGGACUCUUCAAAGCCAAUGUCUCACACACACACACACACACACACACACACACACAGAGCAGGGAGGCUGUUCUAGAUUAAAAGAAGGUAAAGAAACGCAACACCCAAAUGUAAUGCAUGAAGAUUUUUG